rnacentral:rRNA from 1 species
UACGUAGGUGGCAAGCGUUAUCCGGAAUACUGGGCGUAAAGCGCACGCAGGCGGUCUUGUAAGUUUGACGUGAAAGCUCCCGGCUUAACUGGGAGAGGUCGUUGAAGACUGCAAGACUUGAGGCAAUGAGAGGGGUGUAGAAUUCCCGGUGUAGUGGUGGAAUGCGUAGAUAUCGGGGGGAAUACCAGUGGCGAAAGCGGCACCCGUAGCGUUAGCCUGACGCUCAUGUGCGAAAGCGUGGGGAGCGAACGGGG